rnacentral:rRNA from 1 species
GACGAACGCUGGCGGCGUGCCUAAUACAUGCAAGUAGAACGCUGAAGGAGGAGCUUGCUCUUCUGGAUGAGUUGCGAACGGGUGAGUAACGCGUAGGUAACCUGCCUGGUAGCGGGGGAUAACUAUUGGAAACGAUAGCUAAUACCGCAUAACAGUAGAUGUUGCAUGACAUUUUCUUAAAAGGUGCAAUUGCACCACUACCAGAUGGACCUGCGUUGUUUUAGCUAGUUGGGGGGGUAAAGGCUCACCAAGGCGACCAUACAUAGCCGACCUGAGGUGGUGAACCGGCACACUGGGACUGGGACAAGGCCCAGACUUCCACGGGAGGGAGCAGGAGGGGAACUUCGGAAAUGGACGGAAGUCUGACCGAGGAAAGCCGCGGGAGGGAAGAAGGGUCUCGGAUCGUAAAGCUCUGUUGUAAGGGAAGAAAGAGUGGGAGGGUGGAAAGUUCACAUUGUGACGGUAUCUUAACAGAAAGGGACGGCUAACUACGUG